GCCGGAAUAGCUCAGUCGA
rnacentral:tRNA from 3 species